rnacentral:rRNA from 1 species
CUCAGGAUGAACGCUAGCGAUAGGCCUAACACAUGCAAGUCGAGGGGCAUCACAGGAGUAGCAAUACUUCGGGUGGCGACCGGCGCACGGGUGAGUAACGCGUAUGCAACCUGCCCAUAACAGGGGGAUAACCCGUUGAAAGACGGACUAAUACCGCAUAAGACAGGGGUUCCGCAUGGGAUUCUUUGUUAAAGAAUUAUUGGUUAUGGAUGGGCAUGCGUUCCAUUAGGCAGUUGGUAAGGUAACGGCUUACCAAACCUACGAUGGAUAGGGGCACUGAGAGGUUUGUCCCCCACACUGGAACUGAGACACGGACCAGACUCCUACGGGAGGCAGCAGUGAGGAAUCUUGGUCAAUGGGCGAGAGCCUGAACCCAGCCAAAUCGCGUGAAGGAAUACAGCCCUAUGGGGUUUUAAACUUUCUUUUUAUACAGGGGGUAAAAAGGGGGGUACGAGUACCCCAUUGCAAGUACUGUAUGAAUAAGCAUUCGGCUAACUCCGUGCCAGCAGCCGCGGUAAUACGGAGGAUGCGAGCGUUAUCCGGAUUUAUUGGGUUUAAAGGGUGCGCAGGCGGGUAAAUAAGUCAGCGGUGAAAUUUAGGCGCUUAACGCCUACUGUGCCGUUGAAACUGUUUAUCUUGAGUAUGGAUGAAGCAGGCGGAAUUCGUUGUGUAGCGGUGACAUGCAUAGAUAUAACGAAGAACUCCGAUAGCGUAGGCAGCUUGCUAAGCCAUUACUGACGCUCAGGCACGAAAGCGUGGGUAUCAAACAGGAUUAGAUACCCUGGUAGUCCAUGCUGUAAACGAUGAUUACUAACUGUUUGCGAUAUGAUAGUAAGCGGCCGAGCGAAAGCGAUAAGUAAUCCACCUGGGGAGUACGCCGGCAA